UCUACAAGGAACUACUCUUCCAGAAUACAGGCUAGACUAUCAGCAGAAAAAACAGUCUUGGAACAAUAUUCUUUGGAACAACGCCAGAAGGUGGCACGGGAAGCUGUGAAGGGAAAAGCUCCAGGUCCAUGCAACCACCUGUUCAGAAGGGUUCGAAACUUUCCCAACAUAAGCAGCACUAGCGGUGUUGUAUCAAAAAUCACAUCCUUCACAUCCCU